AUUCGCCCUUAGAGUUUGAUCCUGGCUCAGGACGAACGCUGGCGGCGUGCCUAACACAUGCAAGUCGAACGGAACUGUUUUGAAAGAUUUCUUCGGAAUGAAUUUGAUUUAGUUUAGUGGCGGACGGGUGAGUAACGCGUGAGUAACCUGCCUUCAAGAGGGGGAUAACAUUCUGAAAAGAAUGCUAAUACCGCAUGACAUAUCGGAAUCACAUGAUUUUGAUAUCAAAGAUUUUAUCGCUUGAAGAUGGACUCGCGUCCGAUUAGUUAGUUGGUGAGGUAACGGCUCACCAAGACCGCGAUCGGUAGCCGGACUGAGAGGUUGAACGGCCACAUUGGGACUGAGACACGGCCCAGACUCCUACGGGAGGCAGCAGUGGGGGAUAUUGCGCAAUGGGGGCAACCCUGACGCAGCAACGCCGCGUGAAGGAUGAAGGUUUUCGGAUUGUAAACUUCUUUUAUUAAGGACGAAAAAUGACGGUACUUAAUGAAUAAGCUCCGGCUAACUACGUGCCAGCAGCCGCGGUAAUACGUAGGGAGCAAGCGUUGUCCGGAUUUACUGGGUGUAAAGGGUGCGUAGGCGGCUUUGCAAGUCAGAUGUGAAAUCUAUGGGCUCAACCCAUAAACUGCAUUUGAAACUGUAGAGCUUGAGUGAAGUAGAGGCAGGCGGAAUUCCCCGUGUAGCGGUGAAAUGCGUAGAGAUGGGGAGGAACACCAGUGGCGAAGGCGGCCUGCUGGGCUUUAACUGACGCUGAGGCACGAAAGCGUGGGUAGCAAACAGGAUUAGAUACCCUGGUAGUCCACGCUGUAAACGAUGAUCACUAGGUGUGGGGGGUCUGACCCCUUCCGUGCCGGAGUUAACACAAUAAGUAAUCCACCUGGGGAGUACGGCCGCAAGGUUGAAACUCAA
rnacentral:rRNA from 1 species